UUCCCCAGUAGCGGCGAGACGAAAAGGGAUCAGACCAACCGUAUUAUCCUUGUGGUAAUGCGGGGUUGUAAGACAUGUACUGAAUUUAUUCGGAAAGUUACCAAUGAAGUUAUAAGAGAAGUUGCUGGAACGCAACACCAUAGAGGGCGAACGUCCCGUAUCUGAAAUAACUUUCACUUUCUUGUACAUGCUCUUGAGUACUCCGAGACAUGAAUAGCUCGGAGGAAUCCGCCAGAACGAACUGGCAAGGCUACAUACACUUCUAGACCGAUAGUGAACAAGUACCGUGAGGGAAAGGUGAAAAGAACCCCGGGAGGGGAGUGAAAUAGAACUGAAACUGUAUGUCUACAAAGAGUCGAAGAGGACUUGAUCCUCGACGGCGUGCCUAUUGAAGAAUGAGCCAACGAGUUUAUCGUCUGAGCAAGGCUAAGGAGUUGAUCCUCCGGAGCCGAAGGGAAACCGAGUGUGAAAGCGCGUCAAGUUCCUAC
rnacentral:rRNA from 1 species